ACGAACGCUGGCGGCGUGCCUAAUACAUGCAAGUCGAACGGUCUUUCUAUGGAAGCUUGCUUCCACUGAGAAGAUAGUGGCGAACGGGUGAGUAACACGUGGGUAACCUGCCCAUAAGAGGGGGAUAACAUCCGGAAACGGGUGCUAAUACCGCAUAGUUUUCUUGAUCGCAUGAUUGAGAAAGGAAAGACGGCCUUUGUGCUGUCGCUUAUGGAUGGACCCGCGGCGUAUUAGUUAGUUGGUGAGGUAACGGCUCACCAAGACGAUGAUACGUAGCCGACCUGAGAGGGUGAUCGGCCACAUUGGGACUGAGACACGGCCCAAACUCCUACGGGAGGCAGCAGUAGGGAAUCUUCCGCAAUGGACGAAAGUCUGACGGAGCAACGCCGCGUGAGUGAAGAAAGGUUUUCGAAUCGUAAAACUCUGUUGUCAGAGAAGAACAAGUUGGAGAGUAACUGCUCCAGCCUUGACGGUAUCUGACCAGAAAGCCACGGCUAACUACGUGCCAGCAGCCGC
rnacentral:rRNA from 1 species